rnacentral:rRNA from 1 species
GAACCAGCAGAUUUACUUCGGUAAUGACGCUGGGGACGCGAGCGGCGGAUGGGUGAGUAACACGUGGGGAACCUGCCCCAUAGUCUGGGAUACCACUUGGAAACAGGUGCUAAUACCGGAUAAUAAAGCAGAUCGCAUGAUCAGCUUAUAAAAGGCGGCGUAAGCUGUCGCUAUGGGAUGGCCCCGCGGUGCAUUAGCUAGUUGGUAAGGUAACGGCUUACCAAGGCAAUGAUGCAUAGCCGAGUUGAGAGACUGAACGGCCACAUUGGGACUGAGACACGGCCCAAACUCCUACGGGAGGCAGCAGUAGGGAAUCUUCCACAAUGGACGCAAGUCUGAUGGAGCAACGCCGCGUGAGUGAAGAAGGUUUUCGGAUCGUAAAGCUCUGUUGUUGGUGAAGAAGGAUAGAGGCAGUAACUGGCCUUUAUUUGACGGUAAUCAACCAGAAAGUCACGGCUAACUACGUGCCAGCAGCCGCGGUAAUACGUAGGUGGCAAGCGUUGUCCGGAUUUAUUGGGCGUAAAGCGAGCGCAGGCGGAAGAAUAAGUCUGAUGUGAAAGCCCUCGGCUUAACCGAGGAAUUGCAUCGGAAACUGUUUUUCUUGAGUGCAGAAGAGGAGAGUGGAACUCCAUGUGUAGCGGUGGAAUGCGUAGAUAUAUGGAAGAACACCAGUGGCGAAGGCGGCUCUCUGGUCUGCAACUGACGCUGAGGCUCGAAAGCAUGGGUAGCGAACAGGAUUAGAUACCCUGGUAGUCCAUGCCGUAAACGAUGAGUGCUAAGUGUUGGGAGGUUUCCGCCUCUCAGUGCUGCAGCUAACGCAUUAAGCACUCCGCCUGGGGAGUACGACCGCAAGGUUGAAACUCAAAGGAAUUGACGGGGGCCCGCACAAGCGGUGGAGCAUGUGGUUUAAUUCGAAGCAACGCGAAGAACCUUACCAGGUCUUGACAUCUAGUGCCAUCCUAAGAGAUUAGGAGUUCCCUUCGGGGACGCUAAGACAGGUGGUGCAUGGCUGUCGUCAGCUCGUGUCGUGAGAUGUUGGGUUAAGUCCCGCAACGAGCGCAACCCUUAUUAUUAGUUGCCAGCAUUAAGUUGGGCACUCUAAUGAGACUGCCGGUGACAAACCGGAGGAAGGUGGGGAUGACGUCAAGUCAUCAUGCCCCUUAUGACCUGGGCUACACACGUGCUACAAUGGGCAGUACAACGAGAAGCGAGCCUGCGAAGGCAAGCGAAUCUCUGAAAGCUGUUCUCAGUUCGGACUGCAGUCUGCAACUCGACUGCACGAAGCUGGAAUCGCUAGUAAUCGCGGAUCAGAACGCCGCGGUGAAUACGUUCCCGGGCCUUGUACACACCGCCCGUCACACCAUGGAAGUCUGCAAUGCCCAAAGCCGGUGGCCUAACCUUCGGGAAGGAGCCGUCUAAGGCA